rnacentral:tRNA from 1 species
GGACAGGUGUCCGAGUGGUUUAAGGAGGCAGUCUUGAAAACUGUUGAUGCCGCAAGGUAUCCGGGGGUUCGAAUCCCUCCCUGUCCG